UACGUAGGGUGCAGGCGUUAAUCGGAAUUACUGGGCGUAAAGCGCGCGUAGGCGGCUUUGCAAGUCGGGUGUGAAAUCCCCAGGCUUAACCUGGGAACUGCAUUCGAGACUGCAUUGCUAGAGUAUGGGAGAGGGAAGUGGAAUUUCCGGUGUAGCGGUGAAAUGCGUAGAUAUCGGAAGGAACAUCAGUGGCGAAAGCGGCUUCCUGGACCAGCACCGACGUUCAGGCACGAAAGCGUGGGGAGCAAACAGG
rnacentral:rRNA from 1 species